rnacentral:rRNA from 1 species
GCCAGUAGUCAUAUGCUUGUCUUAAAGAUUAAGCCAUGCAUGUCUAAGUAUAAAUAGUAUACAGUGAAACUGCGAAUGGCUCAUUAAAACAGUUAUAGUUUAUUUGAUAAUUGAAUUCUACAUGGAUAACCGUAGUAAUUCUAGAGCUAAUACAUGCAAUAUAGUCUGACUUUUUGGAAGGACUAGCACUUAUUAGAUAUUAAACCAGUCCCAGCAAUGGGUUUUAUGGUGAUUCAUAGUAACUGAACAAAUCACAUGGUCUUGUACCGGUGAUGUUUCAUUCAAAUUUCUGCCCUAUCAACUAGAUGGUAGUAUAUAGGACUACCAUGGUUGUAACGGGUAACGGAGGAUUAGGGUUUGAUUCCGGAGAAGGAGCAUGAGAAACGGCUACUAUUUCUAAGGAAAGCAGCAGGCG